UACGUAGGUGACCAGCGUUGUCCGGAUUUACUGGGCGUAAAGAGCUCGUAGGCGGUUUGUCGCGUCUGCCGUGAAAGUCCGGGGCUCAACUCCGGAUCUGCGGUGGGUACGGGCAGACUAGAGUGAUGUAGGGGAGACUGGAAUUCCUGGUGUAGCGGUGAAAUGCGCAGAUAUCAGGAGGAACACCGGUGGCGAAGGCGGGUCUCUGGGCCGAUACUGACGCUGAGGAGCGAAAGCGUGGGGAGCGAACAGG
rnacentral:rRNA from 1 species